rnacentral:sRNA from 1 species
GCCGGGCUGGAUGGUGCAUGCCUGUAAUCCCAGCCGCUUAGGAGGCUGAGGCAGGAGGAUUGCCAGUUCGAAGCAACAGUGAGGAGACAUUAAGCAAUUCAGUGAGACCCUGUCUCUA